GGAGGAUCCGAGCGUUAUCCGGAUUUAUUGGGUUUAAAGGGAGCGUAGAUGGAUGUUUAAGUCAGUUGUGAAAGUUUGCGGCUCAACCGUAAAAUUGCAGUUGAUACUGGAUGUCUUGAGUGCAGUUGAGGCAGGCGGAAUUCGUGGUGUAGCGGUGAAAUGCUUAGAUAUCACGAAGAACUCCGAUUGCGAAGGCAGCCUGCUAAGCUGCAACUGACAUUGAGGCUCGAAAGUGUGGGUAUCAAACAGGAUUAGAUACCCUGGUAGUCCACACAGUAAACGAUGAAUACUCGCUGUUUGCGAUAUACAGUAAGCGGCCAAGCGAAAGCAUUAAGUAUUCCACCUGGGGAGUACGCCGGCAACGGUGAAACUCAAAGGAAUUGACGGCCGUCA
rnacentral:rRNA from 1 species